rnacentral:rRNA from 2 species
GUACCCGCUGAACUUAAGCAUAUCAAUAAGCGGAGGAAAAGAAACCAACAGGGAUUGCCUCAGUAACGGCGAGUGAAGCGGCAACAGCUCAAAUUUUAAAGCUGGCGUCCUCGACGCCCGCGUUGUAAUUUGGAGAGGCAUCUUCGGUUUGGGCGCCAGCCUAUGUUCCUUGGAACAGGACGUCACAGAGGGUGAGAAUCCCGUGCUUGGCUGGCUGUCCCUCUCCAUGUGAAGUGUCUUCGACGAGUCGAGUUGUUUGGGAAUGCAGCUCAAAAUGGGUGGUAAAUUUCAUCUAAAGCUAAAUAUUGGCGGGAGACCGAUAGCGCACAAGUAGAGUGAUCGAAAGAUGAAAAGCACUUUGAAAAUAGAGUUAAAAAGUACGUGAAAUUGUUGAAAGGGAAGCGCUUGAGACCAGACUCGGCCGACGGCGAUCAGCGGCCCUUCUGGGCUGUGCACUCGUCAUCGGUUCGGGCCAGCAUCGGUCGAGACGGCGGGAUAAAGGCCCGAGGAAUGUGGCUCCUCUCGGGGAGUGUUAUAGCCUCGGGUGCAAUGCCGCCAGCCUCGACCGAGGACCGCGCUCUUUUGCUAGGAUGCUGUCCUAAUGGUCUUCAGCGACCCGUCUUGAAACAUGGACCAAGGAGUCUAACAUCUAUCCGAGUGUUUGGGUGUCAAACCCUUGCGCGUAAUGAAAGUGAACGGAGGUGGGAACCCCUCCUCUGGGGGGGCGCACCAUCGACCGAUCCUGAUGUCUUCGGAUGGAUUUGAGUAGGAGCAUAGCUGUUGGGACCCGAAAGAUGGUGAACUAUGCCUGAAUAGG